UACGUAGGGGGCAAGCGUUGUCCGGAUUUAUUGGGCGUAAAGAGCGUGUAGGCGGCCACACAGGUCUGCUGUGAAAACUCGAGGCUCAACCUCGAGCUGUCGGUGGAAACCGUGUGGCUAGAGUCCGGAAGAGGAGAGUGGAAUUCCCCGGUGUAGCGGUGAAAUGCGCAGAUAUCGGGAAGAACACCCGUGGCGAAGGCGGCUCUCUGGGACGGUACUGACGCUGAGACGCGAAAGCGUGGGGAGCGAACAGG
rnacentral:rRNA from 1 species